ACCUCUUACCAUUCCGAACAGAGAAGUUAAGCCCAUUAGCGCCGAUGGUACUGCCACAGGUGGGAGAGUAGGUCGUUGCCUUGCU
rnacentral:rRNA from 1 species